GAUGAACGCUGGCGGCGUGCCUAAUACAUGCAAGUCGAGCGAACGGACGAGAAGCUUGCUUCUCUGAUGUUAGCGGCGGACGGGUGAGUAACACGUGGAUAACCUACCUAUAAGACUGGGAUAACUUCGGGAAACCGGAGCUAAUACCGGAUAAUAUUUUGAACCGCAUGGUUCAAAAGUGAAAGACGGUCUUGCUGUCACUUAUAGAUGGAUCCGCGCUGCAUUAGCUAGUUGGUAAGGUAACGGCUCACCAAGGCAACGAUGCAUAGCCGACCUGAGAGGGUGAGCGGCCACACUGGAACUGAGACACGGUCCAGACUACUACGGGAGGCAGCAGUGGGGAAUCUUCCGCAAUGGGCGAAAGCCUGACGGAGCAACGCCGCGUGAGUGAUGAAGGUCUUCGGAUCGUAAAACUCUGUUAUUAGGGAAGAACAGAUGUGUAAGUAACUGUGCACAUCUUGACGGUACCUAAUCAGAAAGCCACGGCUAACUACGUG
rnacentral:rRNA from 1 species